UUCCUUUGUGGCUUUUUUUACCAGUUAGACCGGAAUAAUUUACUCGUUUGCCCCCCUCCGCCCCCCAAAACAAUGUUGGACGCUUUAUCCGUAUUCUACGAAUCCAAUCAACAUUGAAUGGUGGGGGAAAGGGGGAGGUUUUCUAAAUUUACGAUAACAUUACGAUAUUUUGUCAAGUAUAAUUGGAAGUGUCGCAGAUGUUUUGUCCAGGAUUGUAGCCUAAACAAAAAUUUCAUCACAGCUUGAAAGAGCAUCACA